AGGGUUCGAUUCUGGCUCAGGAUGAACGCUAGCUACAGGCUUAACACAUGCAAGUCGAGGGGCAUCGGGAAGAAAGCUUGCUUCUUGCCGGCGACCGGCGCACGGGUGAGUAACGCGUAUCCAACCUUCCCCUUAGUAGCGGAUAGCCCGGCGAAAGUCGGAUUAAUACGCUAUGUUAUCCGAAGAGGACAUCUGAAUUGGAUUAAAGAUUGAUCGCUAAGGGGUGGGGAUGCGUCUGAUUAGGUUGUUGGCGGGGUAACGGCCACCAAGCCUACGAUCAGUAGGGGUUCUGAGAGGAAGGUCCCCCACAUUGGUACUGAGACACGGACCAAACUCCUACGGGAGGCAGCAGUGAGGAAUAUUGGUCAAUGGGCGAGAGCCUGAACCAGCCAAGUAGCGUGCAGGAUGACGGCCCUAUGGGUUGUAAACUGCUUUUGCAUGGGAAUAAAGUCGGGGACGUGUCCCCGUUUGUAUGUACCAUGAGAAUAAGGACCGGCUAAUUCCGUGCCAGCAGCCGC
rnacentral:rRNA from 1 species